AGUGAACGCUGGCGGUAGGCCUAACACAUGCAAGUCGAACGGCAGCACAGUAAGAGCUUGCUCUUACGGGUGGCGAGUGGCGGACGGGUGAGGAAUACAUCGGAAUCUCCUUUUUCGUGGGGGAUAACGUAGGGAAACUUACGCUACUACCGCAUACGACCUACGGGUGAAAGCAUGGGAUCUUCGGACCUUGCGCUAUUGAAUGAGCCUAUGUCGGAUUAGCUAGUUGGCGGGGUAAAGGCCCACCAAGGCGACGAUCCGUAGCUGUUCUGAGAGGAUGAUCAGCCACACUGGAACUGAGACACGGUCCAGACUCCUACGGGAGGCAGCAGUGGGGAAUAUUGGGCAAUGGGCGCAAGCCUGAUCCAGCCAUACCGCGUGAGUGAAGAAGGCCUUCGGGUUGUAAAGCCCUUUUGUUGGGAAAGAAAAGCAGAAGGUUAAUACCCCGCUGUUAUGACGGUACCCAAAGAAUAAGCACCGGCUAACUUCGUG
rnacentral:rRNA from 1 species